rnacentral:rRNA from 1 species
UACGUAGGGUGCAAGCGUUGUCCGGAAUUAUUGGGCGUAAAGAGCUCGUAGGCGGUCUGUCGCGUCUGCUGUGAAAACUCGGGGCUUAACCCCGGGCCUGCAGUGGGUACGGGCGGGCUAGAGUUCGGUAGGGGAGACUGGAAUUCCUGGUGUAGCGGUGAAAUGCGCAGAUAUCAGGAGGAACACCGGUGGCGAAGGCGGGUCUCUGGGCCGAUACUGACGCUGAGGAGCGAAAGCGUGGGGAGCGAACAGG